GACGAACGCUGGCGGCGUGCUUAACACAUGCAAGUCGAACGGAAAGGCCCUGCUUGCAGGGUACUCGAGUGGCGAACGGGUGAGUAACACGUGGGUGAUCUGCCCUGCACUUCGGGAUAAGCCUGGGAAACUGGGUCUAAUACCGGAUAGGAGCCAUUUUUAGUGUGAUGGUUGGAAAGUUUUUUCGGUGUAGGAUGAGCUCGCGGCCUAUCAGCUUGUUGGUGGGGUAAUGGCCUACCAAGGCGGCGACGGGUAGCCGGCCUGAGAGGGUGGACGGCCACAUUGGGACUGAGAUGCGGCCCAGACUCCUACGGGAGGCAGCAGUGGGGAAUAUUGCACAAUGGGCGCAAGCCUGAUGCAGCGACGCCGCGUGGGGGAUGACGACCUUCGGGUUGUAAACUCCUUUCGCUAGGGACGAAGCUUUUUGUGACGGUACCUAGAUAAGAAGCACCGGCUAACUACGUG
rnacentral:rRNA from 1 species